AUAUCUGGAAUUAGGUUUCUUGCUCACUUCUCUUCUGGCGUCAGUAGGGCGAGGACAUCUUGGAGUUUCUGUGGUCGGAGUUUAUGAUCAAAGCUGGCUGCCCGUUCCCUCGACGAACCGGCUCGGUGUUUUGGUGUUAAUAUCGUGGGCCCUACCUUCCAAUCAACGUUUCACGACCUCGUUUAAUAUUUAGGACCCUGUCGUUCCAAAUUCGGUGUACGAAUUACGUCGCAGUAUUGAUAGGCAAUCAGGAGACGAGCUGCCUGGUAAACGAGAUGUGAGUUUUGAUGUACAAUCAGGAGACGGGCCGCCUGGUAAACGAGAUGUGAGUUUUG